rfam:Blastocystis sp. NandII AV274scaffold_107, whole genome shotgun sequence.
GCAUGUUUGCCCGAGUGGUCCAAGGGGUCAGGUUUAGGUCCUGAUGUGUUCAGUCACUCGAGGGUUCAAACCCCUCAGCAUGCA